GACGAACGCUGGCGGCGUGCUUAACACAUGCAAGUCGAACGGAAAGGCCCCUUCGGGGGUACUCGAGUGGCGAACGGGUGAGUAACACGUGAGUAACCUGCCCUUGACUUCGGGAUAACUUCAGGAAACUGGGGCUAAUACCGGAUAGGAAUCCUUGCUGCAUGGUGGGGGUUGGAAAGCUUCGGCGGUUUUGGAUGGACUCGCGGCUUAUCAGCUUGUUGGUGGGGUAGUGGCUUACCAAGGCUUUGACGGGUAGCCGGCCUGAGAGGGCGACCGGCCACAUUGGGACUGAGAUACGGCCCAGACUCCUACGGGAGGCAGUGGUGGGGAAUAUUGCACAAUGGGCGGAAGCCUGAUGCAGCAACGCCGCGUGCGGGAUGACGGCCUUCGGGUUGUAAACCGCUUUCAGCAGGGGCGAAGCUUGUGGUGACGGUACCUGCAGAAGAAGCACCGGCUAACUACGUG
rnacentral:rRNA from 1 species